GACGAACGCUGGCGGCGCGCUUAACACAUGCAAGUCGUGCGGUACCGAUGGCAAGUCUUCUUGACGAGCCUUCGGUAUAGCGGCGGACGGGUGAGUAACACGUGAGUAGCUGUCCUAGGGAGGGGGAUAACGCCUGGAAACGGGUGCUAAAACCCCAUAAGCCUCGAAAGAGGUAAAAGUGCAUCACUGCAGUCCUAGGGUGUGCUCGCGGCCUAUCAGCUAGUUGGUGAGGUAAGGGCUCACCAAGGCCAAGACGGGUAGCCGGCCUGAGAGGGUGUACGGCCACACUGGAAUUGAGGUACGGUCCAGACUCCUACGGGAGGCAGCAGUGGGGAAUUUUGGGCAAUGGGCGAAAGCCUGACCCAGCGACGCCGCGUUGGGGAUGAAGUCCUUCGGGCGGUAACCAACUGUUGUAGGGAAGGAAGAAAGUAGACGGUACCUACCGAGAAAGACCCGGCCCGAACUACGUAGCCAGCAGCCGCCGGUAAGUGAGUAGUACA
rnacentral:rRNA from 1 species